UCUCUCUCUCUCUCUCUUUCUGUGGGAUGCUGAAAACUUUUCUCCGCUUCGGAUCGGAUCUUUUCAGUUGAUGUCGCGUUACGGUGGCGUUUCCAUUGAUAAGCGGGCCAGAAUUUUCGUAUUUCAAUUAUAUUCGGAAUCGCUUACAAAAAAACAACCGAAUGCGAAUCUCUGUAGUAAAUCUCUCAUCAAUCAAAUAAUGUGCAUACUAUCCCCCAACAAGUACUGACAAUAUGUGCAAUCGAAAACAAUAGAAAAACGAGUGCAGUCAAGUGAAGUGAAGUGAAAGCCAAAAGGAAAAUGUGCCUCAGUUUGCGGAAACUUUGUCAGGCCUGUCGAGGUUAGUAGGGGACUGGCAAUCGGAAUGGAAUGUAUAAACCCAU